rnacentral:ncRNA from 1 species
AUAAAUAAAUUUUUUAUGAUUUUAGAAAUUUUUUUUAAAUUUAUUUUACAUAUAAAUUUUAGUAUGUAAUUUUAAUUAUUUUAAAAAAAAUUAAUUUAUUUUGUAGUAAUUAACAUUAAAAAUUUAAGAAAUUAAGAUUUAGUAAUAUAAAAAUUAAUAACAAAUUUUGUGCCAGCAGUUGCGGUUAAACAAAAAUUAAAUUAAAUUUUAUUAGAAUAUUAAUAAAUAUAAUUGAAUUAUUUAAUUUAAACAUUAAAUUAUUAGGUGAAAUUUUAAUUUAAAUAAAAAUUAUAAUAUGAGAUAUAUGAUUUAAUAAAUUUUAUUAUAAACUAGGAUUAGAUACCCUAUUAUUAAAAAAUUAAAUUAAAAUACUAAAAUAGUAUAUAAUUAUUUAUUGAAACUUAAAUAAUUUGGCGGUAUUUUAGUUCAUUUAGAGGAAUCUGUUUAUUAAUUGAUAGUCCACGAAUAAUUUUACUUAAUUAAAAAUUUUGUAUAUCGUUGUUAAAAAAAUAUUUUUAAAUAAAUUUAAUAUUUUAAAAUUUUAAAUGAAAAUUAAAUCAGAUCAAGAUGCAGAUUAUAAUUAAGAAUAUAAUGGAUUACAAUAAAUUUAUUUAUAUGAAUAUUUAAUUGAAAAAUUAAAUUGAAGGUGGAUUUAAAUGUAAUUUUAUUUAAUUUUUUAAGAUGAUUUAAAAUUAAAAUAUGUACAUAUUGCCCGUCGCUUUCAUUUAUAAGUUGAAAUAAGUCGUAACAAAGUAGAGGUACUGGAAAGUGUUUCUAGAAAGA